rnacentral:rRNA from 1 species
GACGAAGGAUGCAAGCGUUAUCCGGAUUCAUUGGGUUUAAAGGGUGCGUAGGCGGACAGGUAAGUCAGUGGUGAAAUCUCUGAGCUUAACUCAGAAACUGCCGUUGAUACUAUUUGUCUUGAAUAUCAUGGAGGUAAGCGGAAUAUGUCAUGUAGCGGUGAAAUGCUUAGAUAUGACAUAGAACACCAAUUGCGAAGGCAGCUCACUACGGGAUUAUUGACACUGAGGCACGAAAGCGUGGGGAUCAAACAGG